rnacentral:rRNA from 1 species
UAGGGAAUCUUCCGCAAUGGGCGAAAGCCUGACGGAGCAACGCCUCGUGAGUGAUGAAGGUCUUCGGAUCGUAAAACUCUGUUAUUAGGGAAGAACAAAUGUGUAAGUAACUAUGCACGUCUUGACGGUACCUAAUCAGAAAGCCACGGCUAACUACGUGCCAGCAGCCGCGGUAAUACGUAGGUGGCAAGCGUUAUCCGGAAUUAUUGGGCGUAAAGCGCGCGUAGGCGGUUUUUUAAGUCUGAUGUGAAAGCCCACGGCUCAACCGUGGAGGGUCAUUGGAAACUGGAAAACUUGAGUGCAGAAGAGGAAAGUGGAAUUCCAUGUGUAGCGGUGAAAAGCGCAGAGAUAUGGAGGAACACCAGUGGCGAAGGCGACUUUCUGGUCUGUAACUGACGCUGAUGUGCGAAAGCGUGGGGAUCAAACAGG